rnacentral:rRNA from 1 species
GGGGGGAGCAAGCGUUGUUCGGAUUUACUGGGCGUAAAGGGCGCGUAGGCGGCCAGCACAAGUCGGUUGUGAAAUCUCCGGGCUUAACUCGGAAAGGUCAACCGAUACUGUGCGGCUAGAGUGCGGAAGGGGCAACUGGAAUUCUCGGUGUAGCGGUGAAAUGCGUAGAUAUCGAGAGGAACACCUGCGGCGAAGGCGGGUUGCUGGGCCGACACUGACGCUGAUGCGCGAAAGCCAGGGGAGCGAACGGGAUUAGAUACCCCGGUAGUCCUGGCCUUAAACGAUGGAUGCUUGGUGUCUGGAGUUUUAUAGUCUCCGGGUGCCGUAGCUAACGCGUUAAGCAUCCCGCCUGGGGAGUACGGUCGCAAGACUG